UACGGAGGGGGCUAGCGUUGUUCGGAAUUACUGGGCGUAAAGCGCACGUAGGCGGCUUUGUAAGUUAGAGGUGAAAGCCCAGGGCUUAACCCUGGAAUUGCCUUUAAGACUGCAUCGCUAGAAUCGUGGAGAGGUGAGUGGAAUUCCGAGUGUAGAGGUGAAAUUCGUAGAUAUUCGGAAGAACACCAGUGGCGAAGGCGACUCACUGGACACGUAUUGACGCUGAGGUGCGAAAGCGUGGAGAGCAAACAGG
rnacentral:rRNA from 1 species